CAGCAGCCACGGUAAUACGUUGGGUGCAAGCGUUAAUCGGAAUUACUGGGCGUAAAGCGUGCGCAGGCGGUUAUAUAAGACAGAUGUGAAAUCCCCGGGCUCAACCUGGGAACUGCAUUUGUGACUGUAUAGCUAGAGUACGGCAGAGGGGGAUGGAAUUCCGCGUGUAGCAGUGAAAUGCGUAGAUAUGCGGAGGAACACCGAUGGCGAAGGCAAUCCCCUGGGCCUGUACUGACGCUCAUGCACGAAAGCGUGGGGAGCAAACAGGAUUAGAUACCCCCGUAGUCCCUGUCUCUUAUAC
rnacentral:rRNA from 1 species